rfam:Oryza brachyantha chromosome 2, whole genome shotgun sequence.
AAUAACCCCAUUUUUCGUUUUUCCAUAUCCAACGUUUGACCAUUCGUCUUAUUUGAAAAAUUUGUACAAAAACUUAAAAAAUUAGCCACGUAUAAAGUACUCCUCAUAUUUUAUCAUUUAGUAACAAUAAAAAUAUUAAUCGCAAAAAAAUUUCAAAUAAGAUGAAUGGUCAAACGUUGGAUACGGAAAACAAAAAAUGAGAUUAUU